rnacentral:rRNA from 1 species
AGAGUUUGAUCCUGGCUCAGAGCGAACGCUGGCGGCAGGCUUAACACAUGCAAGUCGAGCGGGCGUAGCAAUACGUCAGCGGCAGACGGGUGAGUAACGCGUGGGAACAUACCUUUUGGUUCGGAACAACCCAGGGAAACUUGGGCUAAUACCGGAUAAGCCCUUACGGGGAAAGAUUUAUCGCCGAAAGAUUGGCCCGCGUCUGAUUAGCUAGUUGGUGAGGUAAUGGCUCACCAAGGCGACGAUCAGUAGCUGGUCUGAGAGGAUGAUCAGCCACAUUGGGACUGAGACACGGCCCAAACUCCUACGGGAGGCAGCAGUGGGGAAUAUUGGACAAUGGGCGCAAGCCUGAUCCAGCCAUGCCGCGUGAGUGAUGAAGGCCCUAGGGUUGUAAAGCUCUUUUGUGCGGGAAGAUAAUGACGGUACCGCAAGAAUAAGCCCCGGCUAACUUCGUGCCAGCAGCCGCGGUAAUACGAAGGGGGCUAGCGUUGCUCGGAAUCACUGGGCGUAAAGGGUGCGUAGGCGGGUCUUUAAGUCAGGGGUGAAAUCCUGGAGCUCAACUCCAGAACUGCCUUUGAUACAGCACAUCUGGAGUCCGGAAGAGGUGGGUGGAAUUCCUAGUGUAGAGGUGAAAUUCGUAGAUAUUAGGAAGAACACCGGUGGCGAAGGCGGCCCACUGGUCCGGUACUGACGCUGAGGUGCGAAAGCGUGGGGAGCAAACAGGAUUAGAUACCCUAGUAGUCC